rnacentral:rRNA from 1 species
UACGGGGGGGGCAAGCGUUGUUCGGAAUUACUGGGCGCAAAGGGCUCGUAGGCGGCCAACUAAGUCAUACGUGAAAUCCCUCGGCUUAACCGGGGAACUGCGUCUGAUACUGGAUGGCUUGAGUUCGGGAGAGGGAUGCGGAAUUCCAGGUGUAGCGGUGAAAUGCGCAGAUAUCAGGAGGAACACCGGUGGCGAAGGCGGGUCUCUGGGCCGAUACUGACGCUGAGGAGCGAAAGCGUGGGGAGCGAACAGG